rnacentral:lncRNA from 1 species
UGAGGAAGAGCAUGUGCUCGCGCCAGGAGUGGUGGCUGUUAGGGGAGGGACCUCAGACCUAUGUCUGCAUGGCCUGAGGUCAGAGUUCACAUCCUACUGAUUGAAGACCUUGUUCUUGAGCUGUCCGGUUGCCACAGGGUCGGACCUGGAGGCUGCAGACCAUCGUGGCCCUUUGCAGUGUUCGGAAACAUAUGCGCACCCCAGGGAGGGACACACACACACACACACACACACACACACACACACACACACACGCAAACUCACAAACACAACACACAGACAGAAAAUGACAAAUAAACACACACACUCACACACACACACACAGGAGCCCACAGAAAAAAGCAAAUAGACGCAGAAACGGGCACGUGCAGUAGUUCUGGCCACACAUGUUCCCUAGGUAUCCACAGAAUGGCAUGGGUAUUGUAUAUUCAUAAAGAUGGAGAUCAGUCAUGGAGGCCAAGGACAAGUAGGUGCACUGGUUGAACUACAGUAGAGAAUGGCAUGGAAGUGGUGAGCAAUGGACCUGGGCCUGUUUCUCAAGUGUGUAUUUGAUUUCUUUACAAUUCCCCGGAGAAGUUGUCAUGGGAGGCCAGCCGCCUGCUGGCAAGGAAGAUGGUUGAUUCUUCUGAUCAAUGGAGGCCCUGCAGAGUCCUGUAGUCACUGUGGCCUGGCAUCCAUGGUGCACCCAAUGCUGGUGGAUGGCUUAGGACGAGGCAGUUGCUGUGGGAGGUGUGGUAACUGCUGGAAGGAAGAUGCUCAAUUCUUCUGAGCAACGAAGGCCACACGGAGUCCUGGAUUCUGUGUGGCCUGGCAUCCAUGGCGCACUGUGUGCUGGCAGGUGGCUCAGGACGGGGCAGUUAUCAUGGGACACCCGCCAUAUGCUGGCAAGGAAGAUGGUCAGUUCUUCUGAGCCACAAAGGCCCCCAACAUCCUGGAGUUGGUGUUGCCUAGCAUCCACGGUGCGCCCCCUGCUGGUGGAUGGCUCAGGAUGGGGCAGUUGCCGUGGGAGGCCCGCUGCCUGCUGGAAGGAAGAUGGUCAGUUCUUCUGAACCACAAAGGCCCUGCAGAGUCCUGGAGUCUGUGUGGCCUGGCUUCCAGGGUUCACCUCAUGCUGGUGGAUUGCUCAGGAUGGGUGCCGAAGGUCUUUAAGGUCGUCAGCUCACCUACUGCCCAGCCUGUGGUGUCAAAUGUCCUGCCUCUUCAAAUGUGUUUGGAUCGAUGAUGAGUCCCCCCAAAAAAACAUUCCUUGGAAAAGCUGAACAAAAUGAGUGAAAACUCAUACCGUCGUUCUCAGCGGAACUGAGGUCCAGCGCGUUGCCUCCAGCAGGGACUGUUGGAGUGAGGGAGAGCUUCCACUAGUCCCUAUAGGUUCCACCACCCAGGGCAUCCGCAGGGACAGUUGCCGUGGGAGGUCCGCUGCCUGCUGUCAAGGAAGAUGGUCGAUGCUUCUGAGAAACAGGCCCUGCGGGUUCCUGGAUUUGGUGUGGCCUGGCAUCCACGGUGCACCCCGUGCUGGCGGGUGGCCCAGGACGGGGCAGUUGCCUUGAGAGGCCCACCGCCUGCUGGCAUGACAGAUGGUCAGUUCUUCCGAGCAGUGGAAUCUCCAUGGAGUCGUGGAGUCGGUGUGGCCUCGCAUCCACAGUGCACCCUGUGCUGGUGGAUGGCUCAGGACACAGCAGUUGUCAUGAGAGGUCUGCCGCUUGCUGGCAAGGAAGAUGGUCAAUUCUUCUGACCAACAGAGGCUGCCUUGAGUCCUGAUUUGGUGUGGCCUGGCAUCUAUGGUGCACCCAAUGCUGGGGCAGUUGCCGUGGGAGGCCUGCCGUCUGCUGAAAGGAAGAUGGUUGAUGCUUCUGAGCAAUGAAGGCCCCAUGGAGUCCUGGAUUCGGUGUGGCCUUGCAUCCGUGGUGCACCCCGUGCUGGUGGAUGGCUCAGGACGGGGCAGUUGCCAUGGGAGGCGCAGGCCUGCUGGAAGGAAGAUGGUCGAUUCUCCCAAGCAACAAAGGCCACGUAGAGUCCUGGUUUCAGUGUGGCCUGGUAUCCACAGUGCACCCCGUGCUGGUGGGUGGCUCAGGACGCACACUCAUUUCCUCUGCACCUUCCUGGUGUCAUUGGCAUGGAAGGAAGGCCCUUGUCCAAGAAGGAUGGUCUUCGUCUUGUGUGAUCUUUGAGAUGCCAUGAGGCCCCUGGAUACAAAUGGUGUGGGCUCCUUUGGAGGCUUUUGGAUUUCUCCUGAAUGUGGCGUUGGUAUGGAAGGAAGGCCAGUGACCGCAAGGGAUGACUUUGAUCUUGGGAGAUUUUUGGAGAUGGCAAAGUGCUUCUAAACAUGUUUGGCAUGGUCUCCUUCAGGCUGGUGGAUACCUCAGGAUGGUGGCGUUGGCAUGGAAGGAAGGACUGUGUCUGUGAGGGAUGAUCAUCCUCUCAUGUGAUCCUUGGAGAUGCCAGGAAGCCCCUUGACACAUGUGGCAUGGGCUCCUUCAGAGGCUUUUGGAUCCGUCGUGAAUGUGGCAUGGGCAUGCAAAGAAAGACAGAGGCUGCAAGGGAUAAACUUCAUCUUGGGAGAUCCCUGGAGAUGGCAGGGAACCCAUGGACACAUGUGGCAUGGGCUCCUUUGGGUGCCGGUGGAUCCCUUCAUACGGUAAAGCCAGAGUUGGGUAUCAACCAGAUACACUGCAGGGGAUCAGAGGACAUGGCCUUUGUGUACUGCACAUCUGUCAGAUUUUCUCAAGCACACCCGUGUUUCCUCUUCACCUCCCACGUGGAAGUGAUGAAUUGGCCAGGACCAUGUUGGUGAGGGACAAUCAUCAUCUCAUGUUAACCUCAGAGAAGCCAGGAAGCUCCUGGACACACAUGGUGUAGGCUUCCUUGGAGGCUGUUGGAUCUCUCCUGAAUGUAGUGUUGGUGUAAAAGGCAAACCCGUGUCAUGAGGGAUGGUCAUCAUCUUGUGUGAUCCUUGGAGAUGGCAGGAAGCCCUGGACAUACAUGGUGUGGGGGCUCCUCCAGAGGCUGUUGGGAUCCUCCUGGAUGUGGUGUGGGCAUGGAAGGAAGGCCAGUGGAGACAAUGGAUGAUCUUGUUCUUAGCAGAUCACUGGAUGUGGCAGGGAGUCCUAGGACAUGUGUGGUGUGGGCUUCUUCAGGUGCUGGUGGUGUUGGCAUGAGGAAAGGAGGUAUCUUCGAGGGACAAUCUUCUUCUUGUGCGAUCCUUGGAGAUGCCAUGAGGCCCCUGGACACAUGUGGUGUGGGCUCCUUUGGAGGCUGUUGUAUCCCUUCUGAAUGUGGCGUGGGCAUAGAAGGAAGGCCAGUGGCCACGAGGGACAAUCUUGGUCUUGGGAGAUCCUGGAAAUGAUAGGGAGUCCCUUGAUAUGUGUGGCAUGGGCUCCUUCAGGUGCUAGUGGAUUCCUUAGGAUGGUGGUGUUGGCAUGAAAGGCAGGCUUGUAUCAUGAGGAAUGAUUGUCAUCUUGUCUGAUUCUUGGAGAUGGCAGGAAGCCCCUGGAAACACAUGGUGUGGACUCUUUCACAGGCUGUUGAAACCCUCCUGAAUGUGAGGCCAGAGACAGGCAGACAGCAGAUGUAUUGCAGGGAGCUGGAUGACAUGGCCCUUGGAACCUGUGCACAUGCCUGCCUUUCUGAUGCACGUCCAUGUUUUCUCUGCACCUCCCCGGUGGUGUUGGUAUAAAAAGCAGGCUUACAUCAGCAAGGGAUGAUUGUCGUCUCAUGCGAUCCUGGGAGAUGGCAGAAGUCCCGGGACACAUGGAGUGUGGGCUCUUUCGGAGGCUGUUGGAUCCCUCCUGAAUGUGUUGUGGCCAUGGAAGUAAGGCCAGUGGCUACGAGGGACAGUCUUCAUCUUGGGAGAUCCCUAGAGAGGGCAGGGAGCCCCUUGACAUGUGGAAUGUGAUCUCUGUUGGGUGCUGGUGGAUCCCACAGGUGGUCUGGCAUGGAAGAAGGCCAGAGGCUGCGAUGGAUCAUCUUUGUCUUGGGAGAUUCCUGGAGAUGGUGGGGAGCCCCUGGGCACGUGCAGCAUAUGUGGCGUGGGCUUCUUCAGGUGCUGGUGGAUCCCUCAGGAUGCUUUUCAAGGUUUUUCUAUGAGUUCUGUUAAAGAGUCUGAAAAUGGAGCGUAGAAGACAUGCUUCGAUUUCCAGGAUGGUUGUGUUUUCCAGAGAGGCGGAGGUAAACCACUGGCGCAGCCCUGCCUCCCACAGAUAAUUCCGGGUGCAGUGUUUCAUAUCUAGACUUGGACUUCUAUCCUACCAUACUUCUUUGUGUGCAGUUCAUUGUGGAACCAGCACAGAUUUUCAUACGAAAGUUAUUUCUUUUUAACCUCAAAAAGUGACAGAAUGGAGUGUAUCAUGAAAAAGUCUGACAUCAAAACCUCAAAAUGUGAUAUUGAUUGGGUGAGAUAGAAUUCCAUGGAAUUUCAUUGCCAAACCAGUGAAGUGCUAAUUUUGACAUUUGUACCAGCUAACGUAGCUGUGAAGAAACACACCAAUACACUUCUAAGGACAGCAUAGACCAAGAUCUAGGUUUCAUAUGGAUGAAUUUAUUCUUCCCUUUGAGGCAAGACAAGAAGGAAAGAAAGUAUUGGGAAUAAUGCUGCCCUCCCAUCCUCAAGGGCCAGUGGGAACUCUAAUAUUGAUUGGGUGAGAUACAAUUCCAUGGAAUUUUACCACUGAACCAGUGGAGGGCUAAUUUUGUCAUUUGUACCAGUUAACUAACUUGGGAGGAAACAGAACAACACACUCCUGAGAUUGGUUUUCACAGAAUUCCAUGGACUUUAACUGCUGAACCAAUGAUGCACUGAUUUUGUCACUUGUACCAGCUAACGCAUCUGGGAGGCAACAAAACAAUACUCUCCUGAGGUUAAUGUGGACCAAAAACUAGAUUUCAUAUAAAAGAGUUUAUUCCUUCUACUUGAGGUGUGACAUGAAGGAAAGUAAUGGAAAUAAUUCUGCCCUCCCAUUCUCAAGGGCCAGGGGGAAUUCAAAUAUUGAACGGAAGUGAUUUUGGAAUUGCAUGGAAUUCUCACUGCCAUCCCAAAGAAAUGCUGAUCUUGUCACUCUUACCUGUUUCAUUCCCUGGGGGCAGAACAAAAGGACGCACUCCAAAGAUCGGCAUGAACCAAGAACUGGGUUUCAUAUAAAAUAUUUUAUUCUGUCCUCUUGAGAUGUGACAUGAGAAAAGUAUUGAGAAUACUUCUAUCACCUCAUCUUCAAGAAUCCGUAGGAAUUCUCCCAUGGUGGACUUUACGGUUAACCUGAACAGGUCUUGGAAAAAGGACUUUAAACAUUCUCCUGUUCUGUGGAAUAAGUAUACUUUUUUCUGGACAUACACCUUGUCAGUGAGUUCCAUGUGAUACUAGAGUUGCAUAGAUUUUUAACCUUUACGCCAAUGAAGAUCUGAGGCAAACAUUGCCCCUUUUUUAGAAGUUUGCAUUUGUCACUGAUAACUGUAAUAAUUGAUCUUGUUGAAAAGCCUGGGAAAUGAAGAUCUGAUAUGUCACUUUUACCGGCUUCCUCAACUGAAAAAGAAUACAAUGAAACACGCUGAGAAUUUUUGUGCUUUCUCAGUCUUGCUGAUGAUCUUUCUAUGGGCCUGAAGCGUGGAGAGUGCCAGAGAGGCUGAUCCUCAGCAGUGUGGCAGAGGAAAGUUGGGUGCGACUAAGGGGUAUGCGGUGCCCACAUGCCACUGGGUCCUCAGCAGUACCACCUGAUUGGAAGUGAUAUUGGUGGAAGACAACAUUUUGCCGCUUGGAAUUCUCACCUCCACACCAAAGAAGUACUGUUUUUGUCAUUUGCACCAGCUUCUUUCUCCAGGAAAGAUCAAAACGAUGCACUGCAAGUGUGAUUGGUCCAGAUAGCUGCCUUAUCCAACUGCCUCCUUUGGACCACUUCAUCAUGGGACAGCUUGAUGCAAUCUACUUGACAAGACCCUGGAACCCCACACCCCUCAUGGAACCAGUGUCCACCUCCCAGUCACAGUGUGACCCCAGGGAACUCUUGCCUGCUUGCUUUAAACCCACCACUUAAAAGUCUCCACAGAAAACCUGUUUGAAUAGUACCCUUGACCCAAUAAGGGCAUUGGCCCCUGGGUGUCUCUCUCUCUCUCUCUCUCUCUCUCUCCCUCUCUCUCCCUCUCUCUCUCUCGCUCCCUGACCUCUGCGUGUGGACUCCAGGCAUGCCAUAUACCCCUCAGGACCUGAAGCAAAAGAAUGAAUUAAAGAAAACUCCAGAGAAUGAGCUGACAACCUACUCCCUGGUCAGUGGCUCUCCAUGCCUACCUGUGGUCUCUUGGACACCCUUGCAGAAGAUGACUUCCUGGGAACUCUUCUGGGAGUGAAUGUUAUCAGCAAAUUCCCAAAACAACACCCCUUAGACAAAAAGCCUCCUCACCUAUGCAUUGCCUAGACCACCCACUAAAGGUGAUGGCCACAAAGAGGUGGAUUUGUUGAGUUGGUGCCAUUCCUUCUACUGCCAGCUUCACCAAAACAAUGACACAGUCUUCCUUCCGCAUGGAGACUCUUCUCUUUCCUGUGUUGCAGUGGAUGCCUCCUGCAGAUAAGAAAUGCUUAACUGAGAAAUGCUCAUGUUGGGAUAUCAUCGAUGAGACUUUAAUUUGGGCAUGGUGACUGUUUCCCUUGCUGCCACUUGACUCAAUCCCAGGAGCCUCAGUAGAGGAUAUAAUAUUACACAAGAUGCUCAAAAUGGUGGAAUUGCUCAGUGCUCCCAUAAAUAUACAUUUAUAAUUUUCAUUUGCCACAUGGUAAACUGAAAAAUACAGACUAUAUUAAAAAGAAACUGCAUGAUUUUUUUUCAAAAAUUCAAAGCAUAUUUAAAUAAUAUAUAAAUUAAAUGCCCUCCUCUCUUCCAAUUCUGUCCCUAUAGUUUUCCUCUAUUAAGUGAACUACAUGCAUUCUUUUAGUGGAUAGAUGCACACAAACACACAAGCCAUUAUGGGGAAGGAUCCACGUGUGUGGCCAUAUUGUAACACAUUUUUCUGCAAAUCACCUCUUUCAUUUAACAGCCCUUAUUCAAUGGCCUUUUUCUUUUUCAGUAGUACAUACACAUCUGUGUCAUUUGUUGAAUGACGACAUGAAUGUUUUGUAGAUAAAAUAUAAUUAAAUGUUUUAAGCAUUUCUCACUCAUAGAUAUUUAUGUUAGCACCAAAUUUCUGUGCAAUGAACCUCCCUAUAUAUCAGUAAUUUUGCAUUUGUCUAUAAUAUCAUAAUAAAUUACUUAUCAGUUGAAUUACUGGGAUUAAGUAUGUGCACACUUUAUAUUUAUAUUUUGAAAAUUAUUGCAAGAUUGCCUUCAAAAAUGUGGUUAACAACUUUAUCUUCAAAUGGCAAUGAAUGAGAUUGCCAGCUUUCCUACAGCCUCACAGACAAUGGAUUUUAUAAAUAUUUAACAUUUUUGCCAAUGUGAUCACCCAAACUAUUGUCUUAAAUUGUAUCUCUUUUGUUUUUGAGUUUGGUCAUUUUUUCAUGUUUAUUAGCCAUCUGUAUUUUUUAAUUUCUUCUUUAUGUCCAAUUUUGUGGGUGGGAGGAGGAUUUAGUCUCUUCCUGAUUUCGAAGAGCUCAUUUACUAUUUCGGGAAAUAAGAUUUGGAUUGUCAACCAUUAUAGCUAUUUUUUACACACUUUUCAACUUUGUUUUUGUUAUAAGAAUGUGUAUGAUUGUUACAUGUCCAAGUAUAACCAUGUUCGCUUUUAUGGCUUCUGAGUUUCAUGUCAUUUUUGGAAAGAUAUAUAUAUUGAGUCCAUAAAACCCUUCACCUAUGUUAAAUUCUAAUUCUUUUGUGUUUUUUUAAUUCAAAUUCUUAAAUCAUGAGAAAUUUUUUUGUUUUGAAAUCUUAAAGUUGCCAAGUUACUUGCCAUUACUUGCGAUUAUUUGCCAAUAAUUGCCCAUUUAUCUGUACCGCCAUCUUGCGCAUAUGCUGUACUCUCAUCUGUGACUGGCUCCAUUUUUGUUCUGUGGAUUUGUGUGUCUCUUCUUCUGCCUCCUGUCUCGUGUCUGCUCGUUGGAAGAAAUUACAGUUUAGACUGCAAUUUCAUCAACUUUAAUAAAUCAAUUGAGGGGAGAAUUGGUUUUUAAAAAUAUUAAGUAAGUCUUCGUAUCCAAGGACAAGGUAUGUCUUUUCUUAUUCAAUAAUUUUAAUUACUGUUAAUAUUUUCACUGUGGUGAUGGGAGUUUUUCUUUUAAUUUAUUUUCUUGUUCAUUUUUUGUAUCUAAAGUUUUUGUUUUGUUUUGUUUUGGGGGUAAGUUGUCACCUUACUGUUUCUUGUUGCUUUUCAGAUUUUUUCAAAGUAUAGACUAAAUCCUUCACAAAUAUUUAAAGUUUUUAUUUUCCCCCUUCAUAUUGAUCCUGAUUUUAGUUAUGUUGACAAAGUCCACAGACUGUUACUAUCAGAACACUUGAACAGUUAUGGAAAUAUUACCUACCCUUGAUUUAAUCAGAGUUUAAUGGUAUGCUUCUUUGGUUUGACUGGCACAUUGUCGCUGGUCAUUUCCUCCCAAAGACCACCAGAAAGAGCUAUGAUCAAGCAAAGCUGAGUUUGUUAAACUUACCUGCAGCAAGGGAAAACACCACCUUGAUAGGGUUUAAUAAUGUUUCAAAAUCAAGAAAUGAGGCUUUGGGGUCUGGGCAGGGAACUAAUUAGAAAUGGGCAAAAUUUGUCAUGCAAUACCUUGUGGGAAAGUGAGAUGAGGUUCUUAAUGUGAGUAUUGAUGGUGAAAUCAUUUUCUAGGUGAGCUGUUUGCCUAUAUAAAGAUGUUAUCAAUGACAGAAGAACUAUUUGCCUAGAUAAACAAACUGAAUUUAUUUAUUGGUUUACAGUUUUAUCUUGCUGGGCAGGACUCUGCUGGGGGUGGUAUCAGGUCUUAUUCCCAAUAGGUAAGUUAUUUGGAUAUGGGUGGUCUUAAUCAUCAAUGUGUAAAAUGCUGAUUUUAAGUGCGAAAUACUUUGUCUACCAUGUUAGGAAAGUCUGCCACCUUUUAUCUUUUUUAAGGAAUUUUAAUCAAAACCAGGUGGUAGAUAUAAUCAAAUUGUUUUGCAGAAUCAAUUUUCCUGUUCUCUUUAAAGACUUUUAUCACUGUGAAUUAAUUUACUAUUAUUGCAACUUCCUUUAAUUCCUUGAAUGAACAGACCCUACUGGUUUUAAAAAUGUUUUAUUCUUUUAAUUUACUACUUAAUUGUGGGUAUUUUAAUUUGAUUUGGAAUUUUUACAAGUAUACAACUAAGUGAAAUUGAUCUGUGAUUUUUCUUUUUUGUGCUAUUUUUGUCAUGUUUUGAUAUCAGAUAUUCUGGUUGUGUUAAAAUAAUUUUGAGGAUUUUCUUCUUAUACUGUGUUCUAGAGUGGGUAAAAAAGCCCUAGUCUCACUAUCAGUGUUUAAGUGAACACAUCAGUGACAUCAUCUGGACUCUCCUUUGUUUUUGCUGGUUUGGAGUUAGGACAUCUAGAAGUUUUUUUCUUUUUUUCCUUUUUUUGUAUGGUUAUUGCUUGUUCUUUGUUUUGUGUCAAAUUUAACCUGUUUUCUCUUAGCAAAUCACAGCUCAUGCAGAUUUUCAAACACAUUAGCCUUGUUAUACAAAGUGUUCUUUCAUCAUUCUAUUAAAUUUCCAUUUUCAUUCCAGUUAUAGUUAUUUCUGCUGUGCCUUUGUUAAUGAAUAAGUUUAAACAGUGGAUGUUUAGCAUCACUAGCCUUCCCCUUCCAUCUCCCUUAAUCAGGACCUUGGUAUAAUUUAUCAGGUAUUUUUUAAGGUUCUAAUUUACUUAUAUAUAUUGUUUCUGUAUUCUUUUGUUUCUUUUCUUAAUAAAUUCUUAAA